UACGUAGGGGCCUAGCGUUGUCCGGAAUUAUUGGGCGUAAAGAGCUCGUAGGUGGUUGGGUAAGUCGGGUGUGAAAACUCCAGGCUCAACUUGGAGAUGCCACCCGAUACUGCUCUGACUUGAGUUCGGUAGGGGAGUGGGGAAUUCCUGGUGUAGCGGUGAAAUGCGCAGAUAUCAGGAGGAACACCGGUGGCGAAGGCGCCACUCUGGGCCGAAACUGACGCUGAGGAGCGAAAGCGUGGGUAGCAAACAGG
rnacentral:rRNA from 1 species